UACGGAGGGUGCGAGCGUUAUCCGGAAUCACUGGGUUUAAAGGGUGCGUAGGCGGCUGAGUAAGUCAGAGGUGAAAGCUCACGGCUCAACUGUGGAAUUGCCCCUGAUACUGCACGGCUUGAAUGGGCGCGAGGCAGGCGGAAUGUGGCAUGUAGCGGUGAAAUGCUUAGAUAUGCCAUAGAACACCGAUUGCGAAGGCAGCCUGCCAGAGCUUUAUUGACGCUGAGGGCACGAGAGCGUGGGGAGCGAACAGGAUUAGAUACCCUGGUAGUCCACGCCCUAAACGAUGCUUACUCGACGUACGGCGCAAAGUCGUGGUGCGUCCAAGCGAGAGCGCUAAGUAAGCCACCUGGGGAGUACGCCGGCAACGGUGAAACUCAA
rnacentral:rRNA from 1 species